UUUUCUAGCGGUUAUAUUAUUUAGUGCGGUAAAUGAAAGAAGUCUCCUGGCCUAGUGUGUCGCUUAAGUUUUUGCCACGGAAACGUCGUGGUAAAAUUCUAAUCGACAUGCUGGGUCUGGAAGACUUGAUUUAUUUACCGUGACCGUGUGCAAGAAAUAUGUUGAUUUUUAUUAUCUCCGAUGCACCACAGAGCAAGAUAAAGAGAGCACUAGGUAUAAAGAAUCUGGUACUACAUUCGUCAGGUCGGUGACAAAAUCUGCGCCAAAAAGCUACAAGAAGUUAAGAUCGAAUGAAUAAAGAUAUCGAAAACAAGUACAGGGAACUAUAGCAGAAAAGAAAAUAUUCGUGGACAGAUACAAUCAACUAAAGAAGAUUCGGCCGAUGAAGAAAGAAAUAUAAAAGUUGCAGUUCAAAAUAUCACGAUGAACAUGAAGAAAAAUUCAGGGAAAUUCAUUAAAGUACAUUUGAAAACUUUGCACGAAAUUGUCCUCACGAAACGAAUUUGUUUCCUAAGGAAAAUUUCGUAUAACGUUUUCCAGUGUACUUUCAAAAAAAAUAUAAAUGGCUUCUUCUAUAUCCAGCUGGAGUUGAAUAGUAACAGAGCAACCUGGCCGAAUCAUCACAGCCAAAAUCCAAAAACGUCUAGAUCAAUUUGCAGUUGACGUGGAUGAGUCUGUUGAGAAAUGAAAGCUGCUUUCUCCACACACUCAUAAAUGCAAGUAUUUCAUCUAGAUGAGUAUAUCAAUGAAGAUGUUAAAAUUUCAUUGAAAAAGACAUUAUCAUUCGAGAGCAGAUUCCAUGAAGCAAUACUCAAAAUUUUAUUGUGAAAAAUGAAAAGUUCAAUUGAAUAAAUAUUUUUCUUAUUA